UACGUAGGGUGCGAGCGUUGUCCGGAAUUAUUGGGCGUAAAGAGCUUGUAGGCGGUUUGUCGCGUCUGCUGUGAAAAUCCGGGGCUCAACCCCGGACUUGCAGUGGGUACGGGCAGACUAGAGUGUGGUAGGGGAGACUGGAAGUUCCUGGUGUAGCGGUGAAAUGCGCAGAUAUCAGGAGGAACACCGAUGGCGAAGGCAGGUCUCUGGGCCAUUACUGACGCUGAGAAGCGAAAGCAUGGGGAGCGAACAGG
rnacentral:rRNA from 1 species